rnacentral:rRNA from 1 species
UACAGAGACCCCAAGCGUUAUCCGGUUUCAUUGGGCGUAAAGCGUUCCGAUAGGUGGUUUUAUGUGUCUAAGGUUAAAGACCGCAGCUUAACUGCGUGUUUGCCUUGGAAACUAUAUUACUUGAGGUAUGAAGAGGUAACUGGAACUCUACAAGUAGGGGUGAAAUCCGUUGAUAUGUAGGGGAACACCAAAAGCGAAGGCAAGUUACUGGGCAUAUUCUGACACUUCUAGGACGAAAGCGUGGGUAGCGAUACGG